rnacentral:misc_RNA from 1 species
GUAAUAUUUAAGUUAUUUCAAAAUGUUCUAGUUUUGUCACAUAUUAUCUCCCAGAAUUACACUGACAUAUGAAAUUGAAAUGGAGAUGUUAUGUAUUAAAUUUGUAUAUAUGUAUAAGAUUAUGGGAAAACUUAAUUUUUAAAGUGUUCUCACAUUCCCGUACGUAUAGUUUUAGUGUUGGAAGUACAUGAUGUGUUAGUAAAUGCAUAUCAUCAAACAGAACUUGCAGGCUCUUUUCCUGUUGAUUUUGUUUCCAUUUUUUGUCAGUUUAUAUAUUAUUCUGUGAUUUGAAAUUUUUACUUCUGGGAGUAAGUUGGCCUCCUAUUCUGUUGAAGCAUGCUUUCCAAUUUUAAAGUUUGUUAUCUUAAAGCUUUAUACUCA